rnacentral:misc_RNA from 1 species
GGGUUGGUGUUCAUCAUCUUGAUGAUGCUCAACAAAGUAAAAACUUCACAUUCAAAUGCCACAGGGAAGGCAACGAAAUUUACUCAGUCAACUCUCUGAACUUCCAUCCUACACAUGGAACAUUUGCAACUGCGGGAUCUGAUGGUUCCUUCAAUUUUUGGGAUAAAGAUAGCAAACAGAGGCUCAAGGCAAUGUCAAGAUGCAGCCAGCCCAUACCUUGCAGCGCGUUCAACAAUGAUGGCUCAAUCUACGCAUAUGCGGUUUGUUAUGAUUGGAGCAAGGGUGCAGAAAAUCAUAAUCCAUCAACUGCAAAAACAAACAUUUACUUGCAUUUCCCACAGGAUUCUGAGGUUAAAGGCAAGCCACGAAUUGGAACUAGCGGUAGAAAGUGAAGUCAGCAGGAAAAGCCUCAUCUUACCAUUUCAGAGAAAGUUUGUUUUGUUCCGUCUGCAGUCGUGCUAUUAAUUCAUGGGAGUAGAUAGGAGUUUGAGCUUUGAACAGUCAGUAGAUAGUGAUUUUGAGUGUGAUAUUCCUUAUUAGUAGGAGCUUGCUUGUGCCAAUACUUGUAAUCUCCUUAGAGAAUUAGAUAAUUGCUUAGUCUCCAUGUAGCCUCUGAAACUUUAUGGCACUUUCUGUUUGAAUAGCCGUUUUA